AAUUCAGAGAAACCCCGGAAUUAACAAUGGGCAAUCCUGAGCCAAAUCCCGUUUUUUGAAAGCAAAGAAAAGUUAAGAAAGCGAGAAUAAAAAAAGGAUAGGUGCAGAGACUCAAUGGAAGCUGUUCUAACAAAUGGGGUUGACGAUAUUUCCUUUCGUGUUAGGAAAGGAAUCGUUCCAUCGAAAUUAUAUAAAGGAUAUAUAUACGUAUUUGUACUGAAAUACUAUUUCAAUUGAUUAAUGAGGAGGACUCCAAAUUUCUAUUUGUGAAUCGUUAUAUCACAAUUGAAAGAUGUGAAUCAAAUCAAUUCCAAGUUGAAGAAAUAAUUUAAUAUUCACUGAUCAAAUCAUUCACUCCAUCAUAGUCUGAUAGAUCUUUUGAAGAUUAAUCGGACGAGAAUAAAGAGAGAGUCCCAUUCUACAUGUCAAUACUGACAACAAUGAAAUUUAUAGUAAGAGGAAAAUCCGUCGACUUA
rnacentral:tRNA from 1 species